rnacentral:rRNA from 1 species
AACGAACGCUGGCGGCGUGCUUAACACAUGCAAGUCGAGCGAUGCAACUUCUUCGGCAGUGGAUUAGCCGCGGACGGGUGAGUAACGCGUGGGUAACCUGCUUUGUCGAGAGGAAUAGCCAGGCGAAAGGAUGAUUAAUAGCUCAUAAUAUUGUAGCUUUGCAUGGAGCAACAAACAAAGGAGCAAUCCGCUACAAGAUGGACCCGCGGCGCAUUGGCUAGUUGGUGAGGUAACGGCUCACCAAGGCGACGAUGCGUAGCCGACAUGAGAGGGUGAUCGGCCACAUUGGGACUGAGACACGGCCCAGACUCCUACGGGAGGCAGCAGUGGGGAAUAUUGCACAAUGGGGGAAACCCUGAUGCAGCAACGCCGCGUGAGUGAUGACGGUCUUCGGAUUGUAAAGCUCUGUCUUUGGGGACGAUAAUGACGGUACCCAAGGAGGAAGCCACGGCUAACUACGUGCCAGCCGCCGCGGUAAGAC